GACGAACGCUGGCGGCGUGCUUAACACAUGCAAGUCGAACGGAAAGGCCCUGCUUUUGUGGGGUGCUCGAGUGGCGAACGGGUGAGUAACACGUGAGUAACCUGCCCUUGACUUUGGGAUAACUUCAGGAAACUGGGGCUAAUACCGGAUAGGAGCUCCUGCUGCAUGGUGGGGGUUGGAAAGUUUCGGCGGUUGGGGAUGGACUCGCAGCUUAUCCGCUUGUUGGUGGGGUAGUGGCUUACCAAGGCUUUGACGGGUAGCCGGCCUGAGAGGGUGACCGGCCACAUGGGGACUGAGAUACGGCCCAGACUCCUACGGGAGGCAGCAGUGGGGAAUAUUGCACAAUGGGCGGAAGCCUGAUGCAGCAACGCCGCGUGCGGGAUGACGGCCUUCGGGUUGUAAACCGCUUUCGCCUGUGACGAAGCGUGAGUGACGGUAAUGGGUAAAGAAGCACCGGCUAACUACGUG
rnacentral:rRNA from 1 species